AGAGUUUGAUCAUGGCUCAGAUUGAACGCUGGCGGCAGGCCUAACACAUGCAAGUCGAGCGGAUGAGGGGUGCUUGCACCCCGAUUCAGCGGCGGACGGGUGAGUAAUGCCUAGGAAUCUGCCCGAUAGUGGGGGACAACGUUUCGAAAGGAACGCUAAUACCGCAUACGUCCUACGGGAGAAAGUGGGGGCUCUUCGGACCUCACGCUAUCGGAUGAGCCUAGGUCGGAUUAGCUAGUUGGUGGGGUAAGGGCCCACCAAGGCGACGAUCCGUAACUGGUCUGAGAGGAUGAUCAGUCACACUGGAACUGAGACACGGUCCAGACUCCUACGGGAGGCAGCAGUGGGGAAUAUUGGACAAUGGGCGAAAGCCUGAUCCAGCCAUGCCGCGUGUGUGAAGAAGGUCUUCGGAUUGUAAAGCACUUUAAGUCGGGAGGAAGGGCUGUAGGUUAAUACCCUGCGGUUUUGACGUUACCGACAGAAUAAGCACCGGCUAACUUCGUGCCAGCAGCCGCGGUAAUACGAAGGGUGCAAGCGUUAAUCGGAAUUACUGGGCGUAAAGCGCGCGUAGGUGGUUUGGUAAGUUGGAUGUGAAAGCCCCGGGCUCAACCUGGGAACUGCAUCCAAAACUGCCUGACUAGAGUACGGUAGAGGGUGGUGGAAUUUCCUGUGUAGCGGUGAAAUGCGUAGAUAUAGGAAGGAACACCAGUGGCGAAGGCGACCACCUGGACUGAUACUGACACUGAGGUGCGAAAGCGUGGGGAGCAAACAGGAUUAGAUACCCUGGUAGUCCACGCCGUAAACGAUGUCGACUAGCCGUUGGGCUCCUUGAGAGCUUAGUGGCGCAGCUAACGCAUUAAGUCGACCGCCUGGGGAGUACGGCCGCAAGGUUAAACUCAAAUGAAUUGACGG
rnacentral:rRNA from 1 species